AGCUGGAAUCGCUAGUAAUCGCGGAUCAGAAUGCCGCGGUGAAUACGUUCCCGGGUCUUGUACACACCGCCCGUCACACCAUGGGAGUCGGAAAUGCCCGAAGUCUGUGACCCAACCUGAGAGGGAGGGAGCAGCCGAAGGCAGGUCUGAUGACUGGGGUGAAGUCGUAACAAGGUAUC
rnacentral:rRNA from 1 species